rnacentral:rRNA from 1 species
UACGUAGGGACCGAGCGUUGUCCGGAAUCAUUGGGCGUAAAGAGCGUGUAGGCGGCCACUUAAGUCCUGCGUGAAAUCUUGCGGCUCAACCGCAAGCGGUCGUGGGAAACUGGGUUGCUAGAGUGCGGGAGAGGAGAGUGGAAUUCCUGGUGUAGCGGUGGAAUGCGCAGAUAUCAGGAAGAACACCCGUGGCGAAGGCGGCUCUCUGGGACGGUACUGACGCUGAGACGCGAAAGCGUGGGGAGCGAACAGG